AUGCAACUGUGCCUUGCACUGGUGAUGGCAGUACCUGGAAUAACAUCGAGGGGAUUAAUAGUGAUAAGAGCGUAGACAGUGGAAGGCCCAGUCUAGCUCUAUGUAGUAGUUCUUGUCGUUCAGUAGUUCAAGAGCCUGAAGUAGGAUCAUCUUAUGUUGACAGAAAUUUAGAGCAUAAUAGUUCGUUGGUUGUUUGUUCUAGUAGUGGCCUUGAUAGCCAAGGCGGUGAUUCUAGUACAUCCACUUCCGCAAAUCAACAGAUACUGGACUUGAAUUUGGCACUUGCAUUUCAAGAAAAGUUGAGUGAUCCCAGGAUUACAUCUAUGUUAAAGAGGAAAGGAAGACACACAGAUCGUGAAUUAGCUAAUUUAUUGCAAGAUAAAGGGCUUGAUCCUAAUUUUGCUGUGAUGCUGAAGGAGAAUGGAUUGGACCCA
rnacentral:misc_RNA from 1 species